rnacentral:rRNA from 1 species
UACGGGGGGGGCAAGCGUUGUUCGGAAUUACUGGGCGUAAAGGGCUCGUAGGCGGCCAACUAAGUCAGACGUGAAAUCCCUCGGCUUAACCGGGGAACUGCAUCUGAUACUGGAUGGCUUGAGUUCGGGAGAGGGAUGCGGAAUUCCAGGUGUAGCGGUGAAAUGCGUAGAGAUUGGGAAGAACAUCGGUGGCGAAAGCGCUCUACUGGACCACAACUGACACUCAGGGACGAAAGCUAGGGGAGCGAAUGGG